rnacentral:rRNA from 1 species
UACGGAGGGGGGCUAGCGUUGUUCGGAAUUACUGGGCGUAAAGCGCGCGUAGGCGGACCUGCAAGUCGGGGGGUGAAAGCCCGAGGCUCAACCUCGGAACUGCCUUCGAUACUGCGGGUCUCGAGUCCGGGAGAGGUGAGUGGAAUUCCUAGUGUAGAGGUGAAAUUCGUAGAUAUUAGGAAGAACACCAGUGGCGAAGGCGGCUCACUGGCCCGGUACUGACGCUGAUGCGCGAAAGCUAGGGGAGCAAACAGGG